rnacentral:sRNA from 12 species
GAGAGGGAGGAACCAUCAUGUCGAAGACAUGAUAUUCAUUGUUCCAAACGACAUGCCGCCGAACGAAGUGAGGGGGCGUUACCCGGG